CGUCGCAAGAUUAAAACUCAAAGGAAUUGACGGGGGCCUGCACAAGCGGGGAGCAUGUGGUUUAAUUGGAAGCAACGCGCAGAACCUUACCAGCCUUUGACAUCCUCGGACGACUACCGGAGACGGUUUUCUUCCCUUUUGGGACCGAGUGACAGGUGCUGCAUGGCUGUCGUCAGCUCGUGUCGUGAGAUGUUGGGUUAAGUCCCGCAACGAGCGCAACCCUCGUCCUUAGUUGCCAUCAUUAAGUUGGGAACUCUAAGGAAACCGCCGGUGAUAAGCCGGAGGAAGGUGGGGAUGACGUCAAGUCCUCAUGGCCCUUACAGGGUGGGCUACACACGUGCUACAAUGGCAUCUGCAGUGGGCAGCUAACUCGCAAGGGUGCGGUUAUCUCCAAAAGAUGUCUCAGUUCGGAUUGUCCUGGG
rnacentral:rRNA from 1 species